AGGACUCAGUCUUGCCCUGCUUGUUAACCACUGGUCGUGGAUCCAAGAGCAGUUCCCCAAAGGGCUGAAUGCUAGUGUUCUCUCUUGGCAAACUGGACACAGUCUGACCCGAUGGGAAUGUGGAGGCAGGGGACAGAAUGAGUUGUUCAUGCCUAUUGCUACAAGAACAAGGAGAUGAGUAAUUCUGUGUGGAGUUCAGCGAGAUGUUGGAGAUACCAUUGCAAAUGAGACGAGGUUCCUGACCCCCAACUCCCGGAGAUGAGCCAUGGAGGAGGAAAGGCUGCACAGCAUCUGCCUUUCUGGAGCCAGGGGAGGCUGCAUGGAGAAGAGGACAACUGCCAUGGAUCUUGAAAGAAAGUGACCAGAAAGUUAUUGGCCGUGGAAAACUGAAUCGCCA